rnacentral:sRNA from 1 species
UGCUGCAGCUGCUUCUGCUGCUGUUCCUGCUGCCGCUGCUGCAACUCCAAUUGUUGGGCCUGCUGCAGCAGCAAUUGCUGCUGCA